AGGCCUGAGCUGCAGGAGGAGAGCCUGCAGGCCUCCUGGGUAGAAUCAUAUCUUCACAAUAAUGAAACUGGGAGCAGUGUUUCAGCCUCACUUUCUACUUAUAAUGGUGACAUGGAAAAAAUAUUGAAUUUCCAACAUGAGUCCAGAUAGAGAUAACAUCAGAAGUUUUCACUGUGACAACCCACCUCAUUCAGACACCACGGGAUACUAGUAAGGCUUCUGAAACAGACAAAGCAUUGGAGAGAAAAACAGAUCUCCCUCUGAGCAAGAUAAUUUUGAGAGAAGGAAGUUAAAAAGAUCUUAAGAAAAAGGUCAGAUUAGAUAUAAGAUUGUUAAGUCAGCCAGAAAAUAUUCUCCUAAAAUAAAUUUCUCUCGAAACACUCAAAGUGUAUAGCUACUCUCACCAUGAGAAACAUGAGCAUUAGGAGGGUGCAGAUUUUCAGAAAGAAUAAUUUUAUAAAGUUUCUUUUCCAUCUCUGCUGCUGUCUCAUCUUCUAGCCAUUGAAUGGGGGUUCUAUAUUGAAAUACAUCUGACAACUUCAAACAACACUUUUUGA
rnacentral:lncRNA from 1 species